rfam:Schistosoma mansoni strain Puerto Rico chromosome W, complete genome
GGCCUCGUGGUGUGGCAGUGAGCACUUUGGACUUUCAAUCCGGCAACCCGAGUUCGAAUCUCGGCUAGGCUU